CCUACGGGUGGCAGCAGUGAGGAAUAUUGGUCAAUGGGCGGGAGCCUGAACCAGCCAAGCCGCGUGAGGGAAGAAGGUACAGUGUAUCGUAAACCUCUUUUGUCAGGGAACAAAGGCGGGGACUAGUCCCCGGAUGAGGGUACCUGAAGAAAAAGCAUCGGCUAACUCCGUGCCAGCAGCCGCGGUAAUACGGAGGAUGCAAGCGUUAUCCGGAUUUAUUGGGUUUAAAGGGUGCGUAGGCUGUGAGGUAAGUCAGCGGUGAAAUGCCCCCGCUCAACGGGGUGAAGUGCCUUUGAUACUGCGUUGCUGGAGUGCAGAUGCCGUGGGAGGAAUGCGUGGUGUAGCGGUGAAAUGCAUAGAUAUCACACAGAACACCGAUGGCGAAGGCAGCUCACGAAUCCGCGAUUGACGCUGAGGCACGAAAGCGUGGGUAUCAAACAGGAGUAGAUACCCGAGUAGUC
rnacentral:rRNA from 1 species